rnacentral:tmRNA from 1 species
GGGGCUGACAAAGCUUAGACGAAUUAUUAAAAGAUAUCAAGCACGACGACUGAUACCGUAAGUAUUGAAUAAGUGAAGAAACUACUUCCAAGCAUGUGCUUUACGCACCUGCGUUUGCCUAAUUAAUUUUGAUAGGCUGGUUUUGUGUUGAGUUGCCAUAGGCAUAAAAUUAUCAUAAUAAUGGCGAUGGAGCUUACGAACUGACUUGAUCGUAAGCUCGAGAUUUAAGUCAAGGCAAUUAGUAGUUAGGUUCUUUAUCGCUACUAAGUUAAAGCCGAGAUGAAACGAAGAACUAUGCGUGUAGAAUGAUAUCCGGCAGUAAUCCGGACCCGGAGGCAGUAUCCGGCAGCUCCACCA